CCGCCCCCGCCGCUGGCGACGCAACGGGCGGAGCCUACACUCAGGCCCUCGCCGGGCUGGGAGCCUGGGCCGUGGCCCCGCCCCUACUAGGCAAGAUUUAGAGGAGAAGCCACAGCAGAAGGCGUCCUGUCCAUAAGGGGCUGAAUUUAUCAGAAGCUAUUGCUCGUAUUCCGUUGUGUGGAUACCAUAAGCUGAUUGCCCAUUCACCUGUUGCUGGACGAUACAUUGUCCUGGUUUGGAACUAUUAUAAUAGAAUGGUCUCAUCAGUCUUACUGCACCAGAAUUUCCACUGCACGUUCAUCUCAAAGAUUGCUUUCGGCAUCUUCCUUCUAGCUCUGGCUGAGGCCUGACCUGCAGCAAGGUAAUUAAUAUUUUAGAGGGCACCACAGCAUCAAGAACUCGACACAGAUAUGAGCUUCGCAGCGACUGUGGGAAGCACAGCAGCAACUCAGGGGAGGCGAACUUGAGAGCUGACCCUCACUCGCCUGCCCCUGCUCUGCGCACCUACAAAUGUCCCUUAGAGAGCGCUGCCCUUGGACCGACCCUCUGUCUGCCUUCUCCACAUUAUGUAACAGAUUUUCAUCUCUAAACGCCGGAGGCAUCCGCAGCUGAACCCUGCGAGAGACUUUGAGAAAGGUGUACGCACACCGAGCCAGGAGCAGCCAUCUCCCCGUCUGUGUCCCCUCCUCACCUGUGUGCACAGAACAGAGCUGUACAUGACUGCGGACACGCGCGUAGUCCCCAGGGAACCUGUUGCUAUGUUUGCAGAAAUUAAGAUUUUCCAAUCCUAUUAGCAUGUUUCAUAUUUCUGGAUUUCUGAUAUUUGCAUAAUUCAAGCAAACAGUGCACACACUUAAUAUGAUAUGGCGUCUUAUUUAGACAAAAAGCUGUCAUAAUGGAAGCUGAAUUAGUGACAUUUUAGGAUAGAAAAGAAACUAAAAGUAUACAUAUGAGUGAUUAGUUGGCUUUCUCUUCUGUUCUGGUGCUCUCAUCUUACACAUACAUACGUAUUCUACUGUAUUAACAGAAGGAUGGAAACAGUGGUCUGCUCUCCUUUACAUAAAACAAAUCUGCUUUUAAAAAUACGUCAAUACUGUAAAUAAUGGUGAUUGCUACUUAGAGAAAUAUUAUUUUUCAUUAUUUCAAUAAGUGAAAAUCUCAGGUAAAAGAACAUUCAACUUAUCUUUGCUUUUGAAGUAUUUUAAGCUAUCUCGAUCAUAAUUUGCAAGAUUUCCUUGCUUAUUCCCAGGACUGCUUCUCAAUGUUUUUGUGAUGAUUCAGCCACGAACUAGGAUCUGAAAGUUAAGCAUAUAUUAGGAUUUAAAUAGGAAAAUGAUUAGUAAAUUCCCAGUUUCUAUUCUUCUGUAACAAGAUAAAAAUGUUUAUUACUCCAUUGAUGACUUUUACUUUCUUGUUUGAAAUAUUUAGUAAGAAAGACUAAAAUCAAUUCCAAUGGUAACAAAAGUUUAAUUUCUUUAAGGCAGAAUCACAAAAUUUAUUUGCUGAAAAAUAGGAGUAUUAUUUGAUAUCUUUGUGUGUAUGUGAGAGAGAGAGAGAGACAGAAAGGGACAGACAGAGUCAGAAACAGAGAGACAGAGAGGACAAUUAGUAUAUUUCAUACCCAUAAAAUCUUUUAAGAGCAAAAUAUACAUCUCAAACAAUACUUAAUGAAUUAAAUGAAAAUCUCGCAAUUCACAGUGUUCAGUCACAUGAAAUCAGUGUAGAGGUUUUUUUUUUAUACUUACAAGAAAGAAAAGUGCUUUAAAUAUCUUAACAUAGCACAACUUGUAGCGAGUAUAUAAUUUGUGAAGUAAUUGGGUAAUUAAUUGAAAAAGAUGUUGAUCAGUGUACGAGGCAAAUUUUUCAAAAUUUGCAGUCCUAUGGCA